CUGGAAACCUCCUCAUCACAAGCCCGAUGCCUUCGCAGCCCCUCAGCCGCAAGUGCUUUCCCUCUUUCUUAGGGGCAAUAUGAAAGACAAGGAGUUUUCUAAAGAAGGAGGAUCCAGGAAUUCUCAAUACUGCAAGUAGGUUCCUCAGCAUUUGCAUGAUGGAAGCCACAGCAUAUCCCUGACCCUGCAGUGGCAGUACCUGAUGACUGACACACUGGCCACUGGUGAACUCUGGAGCUCGCUCCUUGAGAAUUCGGGAAGUACUUACACACAGCAAAAGGUGAAGGAAGACCAACACUUCCAUUACAUGUUAAAAUUAAAUUAAAGUUGAUUUAAAUGAAAUAAAAUUAAAAUUUAAAAGAUGA